rnacentral:rRNA from 1 species
UACGUAGGGUGCGAGCGUUGUCCGGAAUUAUUGGGCGUAAAGAGCUUGUAGGCGGUUUGUCGCGUCUGCCGUGAAAAUCCGGGGCUCAACCCCGGACUUGCGGUGGGUACGGGCAGACUAGAGUGUGGUAGGGGAGACUGGAAUUCCUGGUGUAGCGGUGAAAUGCGCAGAUAUCAGGAGGAACGCCGAUGGCGAAGGCAGGUCUCUGGGCCACUACUGACGCUGAGAAGCGAAAGCGUGGGGAGCGAACAGG